UACAGAGGGUGCGAGCGUUAAUCGGAAUUACUGGGCGUAAAGCGUGCGUAGACGGCUAUCUAAGUCGGGUGUGAAAGCCCCGGGCUCAACCUGGGAAUUGCAUUCGAGACUGAAUAGCUAGGGUGCGGUAGAGGGAAGCGGAAUUUCCGGUGUAGCGGUGAAAUGCGUAGAUAUCAGGAGGAACACCGGUGGCGAAGGCGGCUAUCUGGACAGAGUUUGACGCUGAGGCGCGAAAGCUAGGGGAGCAAACAGG
rnacentral:rRNA from 1 species